AGUUUCCUGAGUAACAAAAUGACAAUAGGAAGUUCUCAACUAAUCCAGUAAAUUCACAGAAAAUCAAAAGAGAGCAACACGAAGAAUUUGUCAAAAUCUUAUUCAACUAGAUAAAGCGGCAUUGAAACUAAAGCUCGUAUGCUUUUUCAAAGCAAUCAUCUCCAAUGUAAUAAUUUAUAAUUAUACCCAGAUAAUAAACAACCUAGAAAACGCAAAUUUAUCAUCCUUUUAGCCAAAA
rnacentral:misc_RNA from 1 species